CGGGUGAGUAAUGCUUAGGAAUCUGCCUAUUAGUGGGGGACAACAUUCCGAAAGGAAUGCUAAUACCGCAUACGCCCUACGGGGGAAAGCAGGGGAUCUUCGGACCUUGCGCUAAUAGAUGAGCCUAAGUCAGAUUAGCUAGUUGGUGGGGUAAAGGCCUACCAAGGCGACGAUCUGUAGCGGGUCUGAGAGGAUGAUCCGCCACACUGGGACUGAGACACGGCCCAGACUCCUACGGGAGGCAGCAGUGGGGAAUAUUGGACAAUGGGCGAAAGCCUGAUCCAGCCAUGCCGCGUGUGUGAAGAAGGCCUUUUGGUUGUAAAGCACUUUAAGCGAGGAGGAGGCUACCGAGAUUAAUACUCUUGGAUAGUGGACGUUACUCGCAGAAUAAGCACCGGCUAACUCUGUGCCAGCAGCCGCGGUAAUACAGAGGGUGCGAGCGUUAAUCGGAUUUACUGGGCGUAAAGCGUGCGUAGGCGGCUUUUUAAGUCGGAUGUGAAAUCCCUGAGCUUAACUUAGGAAUUGCAUUCGAUACUGGGAAGCUAGAGUAUGGGAGAGGAUGGUAGAAUUCCAGGUGUAGCGGUGAAAUGCGUAGAGAUCUGGAGGAAUACCGAUGGCGAAGGCAGCCAUCUGGCCUAAUACUGACGCUGAGGUACGAAAGCAUGGGGAGCAAACAGGAUUAGAUACCUGGUAGUCCAUGCCGUAAACGAUGUCUACUAGCCGUUGGGGCCUU
rnacentral:rRNA from 1 species